rnacentral:tRNA from 4 species
GGGGGCGUGGCGGAAUUGGCAUACGCAGCGGACUUAAAAUCCGCCGCCGCAAGGCUUGUGGGUUCGAGUCCCACCGCCCCUACCA